AUUGAACGCUGGCGGCAGGCCUAACACAUGCAAGUCGAACGAGUGGCGGACGGGUGAGUAAUGUCUGGGAAACUGCCUGAUGGAGGGGGAUAACGACGGGAAACGGUAGCUAACACCGCAUAACAUCAGAUGGGGCCAGAUGGGAUUAGCUUUGUGGUGGGGUAACGGCUCACAAAGGCGACGAUCCCUAGCUGGUCUGAGAGGCUGAACGGCCACACUGGAACUGAGCCACGGUCCAGACUCCUACGGGAGGCAGCAGUAGGGAAUAUUCCGCAAUGGGCGCAAGCCGUAUCCAGCCAUGCCGCGUGUAUGAAGAAGGCCUUCGGGUUGUAAAGUACUUUCAUCGGGGAAGCGUUACCCGCCGAGAAAGCCCCGGCUAACUCCGUGCCAGCAGCCGCGGUAAUUC
rnacentral:rRNA from 1 species